rnacentral:rRNA from 1 species
UGGGUACGGUGAAUGCGUAGAUUAUGGAGGAACACCGGUGGCGAAAGCGGCUCUCUGGUCUGUAACUGACGCUGAGGCUCGAAAGCGUGGGGAGCGAACAGGAUUAGAUACCCUGGUAGUCCACGCCGUAAACGAUGAGUGCUAGGUGUUGGAUCCUUUCCGA